AGUAACACGUGGGCAACCUGCCCUCAGCUCUGGGAUAACUCCAAGAAAUUGGGGCUAAUACCGGAUAUGACUGCUGACCGCAUGGUCUGGUGGUGGAAAGAUUUAUCGGCUGGGGAUGGGCCCGCGGCCUAUCAGCUUGUUGGUGGGGUAGUGGCCUACCAAGGCGACGACGGGUAGCCGGCCUGAGAGGGUGACCGGCCACACUGGGACUGAGACACGGCCCAG
rnacentral:rRNA from 1 species